rnacentral:misc_RNA from 1 species
GCAAACUUGGUCAUUUAGAGGAAGUAAAAGUCGUAACAAGGUUUCCGUAGGUGAACCUGCGGAAGGAUCAUUAUCGUAUCAAACCGGGUGCGUCCGGGUAGGCCCUGCACCGGCGGAGACGCCGUGCUGCGGGCCCCCGGCGCGCCUUCCACACCAAACCCCUGUGCACCUUUGGGAAGGCGGAGCGGAAACGCGACAUCGGCCCCUCAAUCUCACAAGCUCUUUUGAUACUUGUAGAAUGCACGCGGACCUAGUCCGUCUAAAACAAAUAACAACUUUCAACAACGGAUCUCUUGGCUCUCGCAUCGAUGAAGAACGCAGC